AUUGAACGCUGGCGGCAGGCCUAACACAUGCAAGUCGAGCGGAUGAGUGGAGCUUGCUCCAUGAUUCAGCGGCGGACGGGUGAGUAAUGCCUAGGAAUUUGCCUGGUAGUGGGGGACAACGUUUCGAAAGGAACGCUAAUACCGCAUACGUCCUACGGGAGAAAGCAGGGGACCUUCGGGCCUUGCGCUAUCAGAUGAGCCUAGGUCGGAUUAGCUAGUAGGUGAGGUAAAGGCUCACCUAGGCGACGAUCCGUAACUGGUCUGAGAGGAUGAUCAGUCACACUGGAACUGAGACACGGUCCAGACUCCUACGGGAGGCAGCAGUGGGGAAUAUUGGACAAUGGGCGAAAGCCUGAUCCAGCCAUGCCGCGUGUGUGAAGAAGGUCUUCGGAUUGUAAAGCACUUUAAGUUGGGAGGAAGGGCAGUAAGUUAAUACCUUGCUGUUUUGACGUUACCAACAGAAUAAGCACCGGCUAACUUCGUGCCAGCAGCCGCCGUAAUAC
rnacentral:rRNA from 1 species